rnacentral:rRNA from 1 species
UACGGAGGGGGCUAGCGUUGUUCGGAAUUACUGGGCGUAAAGCGCACGUAGGCGGCUUUGUAAGUUAGAGGUGAAAGCCCAGGGCUCAACCUUGGAACUGCCUUUGAAACUAGGUAGCUAGAAUUCUGGAGAGGUCAGUGGAAUUCCGAGUGUAGAGGUGAAAUUCGUAGAUAUUCGGAAGAACACCAGUGGCGAAGGCGACUGACUGGACAGAUAUUGACGCUGAGGUGCGAAAGCGUGGGGAGCAAACAGG